GGCAGCAGUGAGGAAUAUUGGACAAUGGGCGCAAGCCUGAUCCAGCCAUGCCGCGUGCAGGAUGACGGUCCUAUGGAUUGUAAACUGCUUUUAUACAGGAAGAAACCCUACCACGUGUGGUAGAUUGACGGUACUGUAGGAAUAAGGAUCGGCUAACUCCGUGCCAGCAGCCGCGGUAAUACGGAGGAUCCAAGCGUUAUCCGGAAUCAUUGGGUUUAAAGGGUCCGUAGGCGGUUUAAUAAGUCAGUGGUGAAAGCCCAUCGCUUAACGAUGGAACGGCCAUUGAUACUGUUAGACUUGAAUUAUUAGGAAGUAACUAGAAUAUGUAGUGUAGCGGUGAAAUGCUUAGAUAUUACAUGGAAUACCAAUUGCGAAGGCAGGUUACUACUAAUAUAUUGACGCUGAUGGACGAAAGCGUGGGGAGCGAACAGGAUUAGAUACCCUGGUAGUCCACGCCGUAAACGAUGGAUACUAGCUGUUGGGCGCACAGCUCAGUGGCUAAGCGAAAGUGAUAAGUAUCCC
rnacentral:rRNA from 1 species